rnacentral:misc_RNA from 1 species
GAAAUGCGAUAAGUAGUGUGAAUUGCAGAAUUCAGUGAAUCAUCGAAUCUUUGAACGCACAUUGCGCCCCUUGGUAUUCCAUGGGGCAUGCCUGUUCGAGCGUCAUUUGUACCUUCAAGCUCUGCUUGGUGUUGGGUGUUUGUCUCGCCUCUGCGCGUAGACUCGCCUCAAAACAAUUGGCAGCCGGCGUAUUGAUUUCGGAGCGCAGUACAUCUCGCGCUUUGCAUUCAGAACGACGACGUCCAAAAGUACAUUUUUACACUCUUGACCUCGGAUCAGGUAGGGAUACCCGCUGAACUUAA